rnacentral:rRNA from 1 species
UACGUAGGGUCCGAGCGUUGUCCGGAAUUACUGGGCGUAAAGAGCUCGUAGGUGGUUUGUCGCGUUGUUCGUGAAAACUCACAGCUCAACUGUGGGCGUGCGGGCGAUACGGGCAGACUGGAGUACUGCAGGGGAGACUGGAAUUCCUGGUGUAGCGGUGGAAUGCGCAGAUAUCAGGAGGAACACCGGUGGCGAAGGCGGGUCUCUGGGCCGAUACUGACGCUGAGGAGCGAAAGCGUGGGGAGCAAACAGG